rnacentral:lncRNA from 1 species
GAAAAUAAUGAAUACUCAUGUAUUUCAUAAAAAUGAUCCAUGUCCCAUACCAUGAUCAUCUCUCAACAAUCACCUCAGGAUGAAAUAAAACAAGUAAUAACAUAAUGCAUAUCCAAAUGAGAUAUGAGUUCAAUACUACUAAUCUACCCAGUGUUACAUGAUCAGAGCAUUGACUCAUUACUUAGUCUCUAAACUGAAACACGG